AUUGAACGCUGGCGGCAGGCCUAACACAUGCAAGUCGAGCGCGCGGCGGGCGGGUGAGUAAUGUCUGGGAAACUCCCUCAGGGAGGGGGAUAUCUACUGUAAACGGUAGCUAAUACCGCAUACCAUCAGAUGUGCCCAGAUGGGAUUAGCUAGUGGGGGGGGUAACGGCUCACCUAGGCGACGAUCCCUAGCUGGUCUGAGAGGAGGACCAGCCACACGGGAACUGAGACACGGUCCAGACUCCUACGGGAGGCAGCAGUGGGGAAUAUUGCACAAUGGGCGCAAGCCUGAUACAGCCAUGCCGCGUGUGUGAAGAAGGCCUUCGGGUUGUAAAGCACUUUCAGCGGGGAGGCGUUACCCGCAGAAGAAGCACCGGCUAACUCCGUGCCAGCAGCCGCGGUAAUAC
rnacentral:rRNA from 1 species